rnacentral:lncRNA from 10 species
CUUUUCACGUGGUAGUCCCUCUGUAUAUGUGUACCCCUGAUGUCUAUGUGUGUCCAUAAUAUCUUUUUCUUAUGAAGACACGAGUCAGAUUGGCUAUUACACUAAUUGACCAUUACCCUAGCAGGAAUUAGGAAACCCAGCCCUAAGCCAAUGAAUGACAAUGGGAUUGGUUCAUGAAUAUGUAUGGGAUCCCAAUACAGACCAAAGAGACUCAAGGUCUGUCUUGGAGAAGGUUAUUUGGCUUUUCUGAGGAAAGCUUCAUAACAUUUAAAGAGAAACUUAGGAAUAGUUUCUCUCCCUCUAGAUGAUGCUGUGGACCCAUAUAGAGCAAAUAUUGCUGCAGCCAUCUAGUUGCUAGCCUGAAGGGAGCCAGCACAGGAUGAGGACAGAGGAAAGGGAAUAAUAGGCAAAUGGCAUGGAGCCUGCCCACCUCUAGAUUACACUUAGGUAAGCCAUUUAAUUUCUUUGCUUCAGCUAGCUCAAGGUGGCUGUUAUUUGCAGCUCCAAGCA